CGCCUGGAACGGUGAGUGGACGAAAGCUCCGGCGGCAUAGGAUGGGCCUGCGGCGUAUCAGGUUGUAGGGGGUGUAACGUACCCUCUAGCCAUCUACGCGUACGGGUGUUGGGAGACAUAGCCCGGAGAUGGAUUCUGAGACACGAAUCCAGACCCUACGGGGUGCAGCAGGCGCGAAAACUUGGCAAUGCGAGAAAUCGUGACCAGGGAACUCCAAGUGCAUCGGGUAAGACCGGUGCUUUUCUUGACUCUAAAUAGGUCUUGGAAUAAGGGGUGGGUAAGGACGGUGCCAGCCGCCGCGGUAAUACCGGCGCCUCAAGUGGUAGUCGCUUUUAUUGGGCCUAAAACGUCCGUAGCCGGUCUGAUACAUUCGUGGGUAAAUCAACCAGCUCAACUGGUUGAAUUCUGCGAGGACGGUCAGACUUGGGACCGGGAGAGGUGUGGGGUACGCUCAGGGUAGGGGUAAAAUCCUGUCAUCCUGAGCGGACCACCUGUUGCGAAGGCGCCACACUAGAACGGAUCCGACGGUCAGGGACGAAGCCUAGGGGCACGAACCGGAUUAGAUACCCGGGUAGUCCUAGGUGUAAACGCUGUGGACUUGAUGUUGGGGGUGCUCCGAGCACUCUCAGUGUCGAAGCGAAGGUGAUAAGUCCACUGCCUGGGAAGUACGGUCGCAAGGCUGAAACUUAAAGGAAUUGGCGGGGGAGCACCGCAACCUGAGGAUUGUGCGGUUUAAUUGGACUCAACGCCGGAA
rnacentral:rRNA from 1 species